CUUCACUGUUUCCUGGGAUUGACUUUGGGCUUUUCCUGCGCAGCUUAGGUAGAGGGCAAAGAAGGCCUCCAUCUGGGGGGGCCAGAGCCAUCAGUGAGAUACCACUCUAGAAGAGCUAGAAUUCUAACAUUGUGCCAAAACCUACGGGCCGAGGAACAGUCUCAGAUAGAUAGUUUCUAUGGGCGUAAGCCUCCCAAAAGGUAACGGAGGCGUGCAAAGAUUUCCUCGGGCUUGCCUGAGUCGGCAAUCCCACACGAUAGUCACAUUGUUUCGCUUAGUAACCUUCUAGGCGCGAUACCGACGAAGGUAAGUGAUGGACAUUUUUUGGUUAAAAAUGCGUUGGUCAAAUG
rfam:Glycine max cultivar Williams 82 chromosome 14, whole genome shotgun sequence.